GGGGAUCUGGUAAAGAGAUGCUCCGAUGAUGUCAUCUUCAUCUAAAAACAAUGACCAACCACGCCAAACCAGGUUCGAAUGGAUAGGGAUGUUGCUGGAUAACCUCAAAUCCCGUACAAAAGUGAUUCCUCGUCGCAGGAGAACAAAACAUGGGGCAACACUGGACUUUGAAGGCUUUGAGAUUGUAAUUUGCACAAUAAAGCAAGCACCGGUACCAUACAAUCGUGUCUACCACCCUCAGUUUCCGUGUGCACACACAUUCACCACCCAAUAUAUGUGCCUCGCAAGGCUUGGUGUUGCACCAUCUCCAUUUGAAAAUGUACAAUAUAUGUCCUCCCUUGGAGAGUGUUGUCCCUCAGCAUAAGAUUAUGGUUGCUGACUUCCGCUUUAGGAUUCGGGUCCAGCGGAACAAGCAUGCCAAAGUAACUAGAACGAAGUGGUGGAAGCUCAAAGGAGAGGUAGCUCAGACAUUCAAGGAGAGGGUCAUUAAGGAGGGCCCUUGGGAGAAUGGAGGUGAUGCAGACAACAUGUGGAUGAAGAUGGCGACUUGCAUUCGUAAGGUGGCGUCAGAGGAGUUUGGAGUGUCCAGGGGGAGUAGAAGAGAAAUUAAAGAUAUGUGGUGGUGGAACAAUGAUGUCCAAAAGACAAUUAAGGAGGAGAAGAUUAUUUCAGACGCCUAUAUCUGGAUAGGAGUGUAGAUAACAUAAAGAAGUACAAGAUGGCAAAGAAGGCUGCAAAACAAGCUAUGAGUGAAGCAAAGGGGUCGGGCGUAUGAGGACCAUACUAUCGUGAAGAACGAGUAAGAAGAGGAGCCCCCCGAGGAAGAAGGGGAUGGAGCAGAUCAACUCCUCGUGAAGAACGAGGAGAUUGAGCAUAGAUGGCAGCAGUACUUUGACAAGAUGUUCAACGGGGAGAGUGAGAGCUCUACCAUUGAACUGGAUGACUCAUUUGAUGAUACUAGCAUCGUUCUGUGCAGCGAAUCCAGGAGUCGGUAAAGGAGGCUUUAAAGAUGAUGAAAGGAGGCAAGGCGAUGGGCCCCGAUUGUAUCCCCAUUGAGGUGUGGAGAUGCCUUGGGGACAUAGCGAUAGUAUGGUCGACCAAACUUUUCAACCUCAUUUUUCGGGCAAACAAGAUGCUAGAAGAAUGGAGACGGAGUAUAUUAGUACCAAUAUUCAAGAACAAGGGGGGUGUUCAGAGUUGUAGUAAUUACCGUGAAAUUAAACUGAUGAGCCAUACAAUGAAGCUAUGGAAGAGAGUCAUUGAGCACUACUUAAGAAGAGUGACAAGUGUGACCAAAAAUCAGUUUGGUUUUAUGCCUGGGAGGUCGACCAUGGAAGCCAUUUUCUUGGUACGACAACUUAUGAAGAGAUAUGGGGAGCAAAAGAAAGACGUGCAUAUGAUGUUCAUUGACUUGGAGAGGACCUAUGAUAAGAUAUCGCAGAAUGUUAUGUGGCGGGCCUUGGAGAAACACAAAGUCCCAACAAAGUACAUUACCCUCAUCAAGGACAUGUACUAUAAUAUUAUGACAAGUGUUCGAACAAGUGAUAUCGACACUGAUGACUUCCCGAUUAAGAUAUGACUGCAUCAGGGGUUAGCUUUGAGCCCUUAUCUUUUUGCCUUGGUGAUGGAUGAGGUCAUAAGGGAUAUACAAGGAGAUAUCCCAUGGUGUAUGCUCUUUGCGGACGAUGUGGUGCUAGUCGAUGAUAGUCAGACGGGGGUCAACAGGAAGUUGGGAGUUAUGGAGACAAACCUUGGAAUUGAAAGGUUUUAGACUUAGUAGGACUAAAACCGAGUACAUGAGGUGCGCUUUCAGUACUACUAGGCACGAGGAGGUGGAAGAUGUUAGCCUUAAUGGGUAGGUGGUGCCUCAGAAGGACACCUUUCGAUAUUUGGGGUCAAUGUUGCAGAAGGAUGGGGGCAUCGAUGAAGAUGUGAACCAUCGAAUUAAAGCCGGUUAGAUGAUGUGACGCCAAGCUUGUGGCAUUCUUUGUGACAAAAGAGCCACAAAAGCUAAAAGACAAGUUCUAUAGGGCGGUUCGACCCGCAAUGUUGCAUGGCUGAGUGUUGGCGACUAAAAGAUGACAUGUGCAACAAUUAGGUGUGACGGAGAUGCGCAUGUUGAGAUGGAUGUGUGGCCACACAAGGAAGGGCCGAAUCCAGAAUGAUGAUAUACGUGAUAGAGUUGGGAUGGCGCCGAUUGAAGAGAAGCUUGUGCAACAUCGUCUGAGAUGUGCAUAACAGACGGCUAAAGCAUUGCUGAUAAUGUUAAAAGAGGUCGGGGUAGAUCAAAUUUGACAUGAAAAGAGUCCGUAAAGAGAGAUCUGAAGGAUUGGAGCAUCAUCAAAAGACUAGCCAUGGACAAGAGUACGUGAAAGCGUGUUAUCCAUGUGCCAGAACCAUGAGUUGAUCGUAAAAUCUUAUGGGUUUAACCUCUAGCCUACGCCAACUUGUUUGAAGCUAAAGGUUUUGUUGCCCCCCCCCCCGUUGUAAUCUAUUGGCUAGGAGUUAAUUCCAAUUCUUCUACAGAUAUACUUCCUCUGUAAACAAAUACAGUACAAGAUAUUUUAGAGAGUAGUGUAGUUUUUAGGGGAUCUGGUAGAGAGAUGCUCCGAAUGAUGUCAUCUUCAUCUAAAAACAAUGACCAACCACGCCAAACCAGGUUCGACUGGAUUGGGAUGUUGCUGGAUAACCUCAAAUCCCGUACAACAGUGAUUCCUCGUCGCAGGAGAACAAAACAUGGGGCAACACUGGACUUCAAAGGCUUUGAGUUUGCAAUUUGCACAAUAAAGCAAGCACCGGUACCAU
rnacentral:lncRNA from 1 species